GACGAACGCUGGCGGCGUGCCUAAUACAUGCAAGUCGAGCGGACUGACUGGGAGCUUGCUCUUGUUCGGUUAGCGGCGGACGGGUGAGUAACACGUGGGUAACCUGCCUGUAAGACCGGGAUAACUCCGGGAAACCGGAGCUAAUACCGGAUAAUAUCUAAGACCGCAUGGUCUUUGGUUGAAAGGCGGCGUUACUUGCCACUUGCGGAUGAGCCCGCGCCGCAUUAGCUAGUUGGUAUGGUAACGGCUCACCAAGGGACGGAUCCGUAGCCGACCUGUGAGGGUGCUCGGCCACCUGGGACUUGAACAACGCUCAAGCCUCCUCAGGGAGGAAGCAGAGGGGAACUUCCGGAAAUGGGGGAAAGCUUGCCGGAGGAAGGCCGGGUGGGUGAGAAGGGCUUCGGGUUGGAAAGCCUCUGUUUGUGGGGCGAAACAGCUGUGUAUGAAGAAGUCGACGUCGUGACGGUACCUAACGAGAAAGCCCCGGCUAACUACGUG
rnacentral:rRNA from 1 species